rnacentral:rRNA from 1 species
GAUGAACGCUGGCUACAGGCCUAACACAUGCAAGUCGAGGGGCAUCACGCUGUCGGUUUACCGGCGGUGGUGGCGACCGGCGCACGGGUGAGUAACGCGUAUCCGACCAUCCGCGGGCCCGGGGAUAGUCUUCCGAAAGGAGGUUUAAUACCCGGCGGCGUCAGGGGGUUCCAUGGCCGCCUGACUAAAGGAUUCGUCCGGCCCGCGACGGGGAUGCGUUCCAUUAGCUUGACGGCGGGGUAACGGCCCACCGUGGCUACGAUGGAUAGGGGUUCUGAGAGGAAGGCCCCCCACACUGGGACUGAGACACGGCCCAGACUCCUACGGGAGGCAGCAGUGAGGAAUAUUGGUCAAUGGGCGGAAGCCUGAACCAGCCAAGUAGCGUGAAGGAUGACGGCCCUACGGGUUGUAAACUUCUUUUGCGGGAGGAUAACCGGCGCCACGUGUGGCGUCCUGCAGGUAUCCCGCGAAUAAGCAUCGGCUAACUCCGUGCCAGCAGCCGCGGUAAUACGGAGGAUGCAGGCGUUAUCCGGAAUCAUUGGGCUUAAAGGGAGCGUAGACGGACCCUUAAGUCAGCCGUCAAAAGCCGGGGCUCAACCCCGGUCCGCGGUUGAAACUGGGAGCCUUGAGUGCGGUCGCGGCGCGCGGAAUUCGUGGUGUAGCGGUGAAAUGCAUAGAUAUCACGAAGAACCCCGAUUGCGAAGGCAGCGCGCCAGUCCGCAACUGACGUUGAGGCUCGAAGGUGCGGGUAUCGAACAGGAUUGGAUACCCUGGUAGUCCGCACAGUAAACGAUGGACACUCGCCGCGGGCGAUACACUGUCCGCGGCCCAGCGAAAGCGUUAAGUGUCCCGCCUGGGGAGUACGCCGGCAACGGUGAAACUCAAAGGAAUUGACGGGGGCCCGCACAAGCGGAGGAACAUGUGGUUUAAUUCGAUGAUACGCGAGGAACCUUACCCGGGCUCGAAGUUCGGCGGGAUGAUAUGGAGACAUGUCAGUCCUUCGGGACCGCCGCAUAGGUGCUGCAUGGUUGUCGUCAGCUCGUGCCCGUGAGGUGUCGGCUUAAGUGCCAUAACGAGCGCAACCCCUCCCUCCAGUUGCCAUCGGGUAAAGCCGGGGACUCUGGAGGCACUGCCAUCGCAAGAUGUGAGGAAGGCGGGGAUGACGUCAAAUCAGCACGGCCCUUACGUCCGGGGCUACACACGUGUUACAAUGGGGGGUACAGAGCGCAGCGUACCGGCGACGGCGCGCGAAUCGUGAAAUCCCCUCCCAGUUCGGACUGGAGUCUGCAACCCGACUCCACGAAGCUGGAUUCGCUAGUAAUCGCGCAUCAGCCAUGGCGCGGUGAAUACGUUCCCGGGCCUUGUACACACCGCCCGUCAAGCCAUGAAAGCCGGGGGUACCUGAAGUGCGUAGCCGAGAGGGUCGCCCUAGGGUAAGACCGGUGAUUGGGGCUA